rnacentral:rRNA from 1 species
AGAGUUGAUCAUGCUCAGAAUGAACGCUGGCGGCGUGCUUUACACAUGCAAGUCGAGCGAGCGUGUAGCAAUACACAGUCGAGCGGCGAACGGGUGAGUAACACGUGGAUCAUCUACCUUCAGGUGGGGGAUAACCCGGGGAAACUCGGGCUAAUACCGCAUAAUAUCGUGAGAUCAAAGGGGCGCAAGUCCCGCCAGAAGAGGAGUCCGCGUUCGAUUAGCUAGUUGGUAGGGUAAUGGCCUACCAAGCGACGAUCGAUAGCCGGCCUGAGAGGGUGAUCGGCCACACUGGAACUGAGACACGGUCCAGACUCCUACGGGAGGCAGCAGUGGGGAAUUUUGCGCAAUGGGCGAAAGCCUGACGCAGCAACGCCGCGUGGAGGAUGAAGGUCUUUGGAUUGUAAACUCCUGUCAGCAGGAAAAAGGGGUCUGGCCACACCAGAUCAUUGAUUGUACCUGCAGAGGAAGCCCCGGCUAACUCUGUGCCAGCAGCCGCGGUAAUACAGAGGGGGCAAGCGUUAUUCGGAAUUAUUGGGCGUAAAGGGCGCGUAGCGGCUUGGCAGUGGAAGGUGAAAUCCCUCGGCUCAACCGAGGAACUGCCUUCUAAACUGCUUUGAUUGAGUCCGGGAGAGGUCAGUGGAAUCCCAGUGUAGCGGUGAAAUGCGUAGAUAUUGGGAGGAACACAGUGGCGAAGGCGGUGACUGGACGGUACUGACGCUGAGGCGCGAAGCGUGGGAGCAACGGGAUA